AGCUGCUGCAAUCCUAUCACAAUAGCUGCUCCGGCCAUGAAGCCAACGAUGGCAGCGUGCGAGAGGAAGUCCACAAGAAAACCCAGCCUGGAUAAAAGGGCAGAAGUAGCAAAACGAAGAAAAGGGUAAAAGCAAAGGCACCAGAAAAGCUUGAUCCCUAGCAGAAGGUCUACAUGAUUGUGCUUAAGGCUACAUUCACAGGCAAAGCCUUCACCUGAGCCGGACCUGACGUUAUAUCACGACAGUUUUACAUGCAUCUCUAUCAAGAGGCCAAUCAAAUUCAUAAUGUGGUGAAAUUCAGAGGCUGCUGCAGGGUCUGCACCGCCACUUCAACGAAACAGUUGCUGCAAUGAUCAAUUCACGGCGAAGUGAGAUUCGAUCGCCAGAACAGGGUCUAUACCACCGUUUCAAACAAUCACGGCUCCAAAAAGAUCCGACCUUCUUGUCAAAAUUAUUGGCGUAUCAUUUCUCUUGAGAUAAAAAGUAAUGCUACACUUGCAGUAGUUUUUUCAAAAGUAUAAAAAAUCGCAAACAUAUCUUCUUAUGUGUGUACUAUACACUCUUCUUUAAUGCUUUGUCCUCCUUUCAACGAUUCGCUGAAUUUGUUGCACUUUCCUUUAUCUUGUUUAGUAAUUUGUAAAGUGAUUCUAGUGUCUUUUGAUAAGAGCCAAUGAAGCUCUAUUCCAUUAUUUUGAGACAGUGUAUAUAUAUACAAAACAUUUAGGCAAAAGAAUGUUGCUAGUA